GGGUAGGUGGCAGAGUGGUCAAUUGCACCAGACUGUAAAUCUGGCUCCUUCGGGAUUCGGGGGUUCAAAUCCCUCCCUACCCAC
rnacentral:tRNA from 1 species